rnacentral:rRNA from 1 species
UACGUAGGACGCAAGCGUUAUCCGGAAUUAUUGGGCGUAAAGAGCUCGUAGGCGGUUUGUCGCGUCUGCCGUGAAAGUCCGGGGCUCAACUCCGGAUCUGCGGUGGGUACGGGCAGACUAGAGUGAUGUAGGGGAGACUGGAAUUCCUGGUGUAGCGGUGAAAUGCGCAGAUAUCAGGAGGAACACCGGUGGCGAAGGCGGUUCUCUGGGCAUUACCUGACGCUGAGGAGCGAAAGUGUGGGGAGCGAACAGG